GACGAACGCUGGCGGCGUGCUUAACACAUGCAAGUCGAACGGAAAGGCCCUGCUUUUGUGGGGUGCUCGAGUGGCGAACGGGUGAGUAACACGUGAGUAACCUGCCCUUGACUUUGGGAUAACUUCAGGAAACUGGGGCUAAUACCGGAUAGGAGCUCCUGCUGCAUGGUGGGGGUUGGAAAGUUUCGCGGUUGGGGAUGGACUCGCGGCUUAUCAGCUUGUUGGUGGGGUAGUGGCUUACCAAGGCUUUGACGGGUAGCCGGCCUGAGAGGGUGACCGGCCACAUUGGGACUGAGAUACGGCCCAGACUCCUACGGGAGGCAGCAGUGGGGAAUAUUGCACAAUGGGCGGAAGCCUGAUGCAGCAACGCCGCGUGCGGGAUGACGGCCUUCGGGUUGUAAACCGCUUUCGCCUGUGACGAAGCGUGAGUGACGGUAAUGGGUAAAGAAGCACCGGCUAACUACGUG
rnacentral:rRNA from 1 species